GAAACAAUAUUUGAGUAUUAAAAAUAUUAUUAAAGAAGUCCCGUGUAAUUUUAAAAAUAAACAAUGUAGUACCUAUAUAAUUUAUUAUUUUGUAUUUGAUAUAUAUUAAAAAACAAAAAAAAGAAUUGGAGGCGCAGGGUAUCGAUCCCCGUACUUCUCGCAUGCUAAGCGAGCGCUCUACCAUCUGAGCUACGCCCCCUUGUUCAGUAGCGUGUGAAAUUACUGAAGACUUUAAUAACUUACGUUGUUUUAUUGACGUAAAUUACGACACGCAAUGAAUAAUUUAUAAAAGCACUUUCACAAACAUAACCAAUGUUUUUAUUUAAUUAUCGUCACGAUUAUCUACAACUGCAAUAAGUAGAGGAGAACCUAUUUCCGUUUGUAAUAUCUAUAGCAAAAAUCGACAUACGUAAUACAUACUAAAUAAACGUUUGUACAACUGUCGAUAAAAAUAAUAUUAGAAAUAGUAUUUUCGAAAGGAUUUGGUGUAAUAGUUUCUUAAGCUUUUGCGAUAUAACGUGCAAUGUAGUAAAGGCUCCUUGUUGAUUACGGCGGUGAACAGAACAUGCUUAAUAUCGUUUGUGAGUCACAAUGACUGAAUUUAAGUUUCGUUUCAAUAGCUGCUGAUUAGGCCUAUUGUUACGAAUUCACCAGAAAUUACUCACGAUAGUUUCCGGGAAGGUCUACGUGGAGGUCGACCUGAUAAGGAAUCGUCGACUUCAAAGGGUAAAUGAUGCCAGGAAAUAUAACUAUUUAUGUAUUUUCUAUAUGUGUUCAUUGUUAUUCUGCUAAUAUGGUAAUAAAAUAUACUUGGUAAUAUUUA